AGAGGGGAAUAACAGUGAGAAAUCACUGCUAAAACCGCAUAUGCCGUGAACAUCGCAUGAUGAAAACGGGAAAAGAGCAAUCUGCUAAUAGAUGGGCUUGCGUCUGAUUAGCUAGUUGGUGUGGUAAAGGCAUACCAAGGCAACGAUCAGUAGCCGGACUGAGAGGUUGAACAGCCACAUUGGGACUGAGAUACGGCCCAGACUCCUACGGGAGGCAGCAGUCGGGAAUAUUGCGCAAUGGAGGAAACUCUGACGCAGUGACGCCGCGUAUGGGAAGAAGGUUUUCGGAUUGUAAACCAUUUUAGACAAGGAAGAAACAAGACAGUACUUGUAGAAUAAGCUCCGGCUAACUACGUGCCAGCAGCCGCGGUAAUACGUAGGGAGCAAGCGUUAUCCGGAUUUAUUGGGUGUAAAGGGUGCGUAGACGGGAAGGUAAGUUAGUUGUGAAAUCCCUCGGCUCAACUGAGGAACUGCGACUAAAACUGCUUUUCUUGAGUGCUGGAGAGGAAAGUGGAAUUCCUAGUGUAGCGGUGAAAUGCGUAGAUAUUAGGAGGAACACCAGUGGCGAAGGCGACUUUCUGGACAGUAACUGACGUUGAGGCACGAAAGUGUGGGGAGCAAACAGGAUUAGAUACCC
rnacentral:rRNA from 1 species